AACGAACGCUGGCGGCAGGCUUAACACAUGCAAGUCGAGCGCAUCCUUCGGGGUGAGCGGCGGACGGGUGAGUAACGCGUGGGAACGUGCCCUCUUCUACGGAAUAGCCUCGGGAAACUGAGAGUAAUGCCGUAUACGCCCGCAAGGGGAAAGAUUUAUCGGGGGAGGAUCGGCCCGCGUUGGAUUAGGUAGUUGGUGGGGUAACGGCCUACCAAGCCGACGAUCCAUAGCUGGUUUGAGAGGAUGAUCAGCCACACUGGGACUGAGACACGGCCCAGACUCCUACGGGAGGCAGCAGUGGGGAAUCUUGGACAAUGGGGGCAAACCUGAUCCAGCCAUGCCGCGUGAUCGAUGAAGGCCUUAGGGUUGUAAAGAUCUUUCAGCUGGGAAGAUAAUGACGGUACCAGCAGAAGAAGCCCCGGCUAACUCCGUG
rnacentral:rRNA from 1 species